rnacentral:rRNA from 1 species
GACGAACGCUGGCGGCGUGCUUAACACAUGCAAGUCGAACGGAAAGGCCCCUUUGGGGGUACUCGAGUGGCGAACGGGUGAGUAACACGUGAGUAACCUGCCCUUGACUUCGGGAUAACUCCAGGAAACUGGGGCUAAUACCGGAUAGGAAUCCUUGCUGCAUGGUGGGGGUUGGAAAGCUUCGGCGGUUUUGGAUGGACUCGCGGCUUAUCAGCUUGUUGGUGGGGUAGUGGCUUACCAAGGCUUUGACGGGUAGCCGGCCUGAGAGGGCGAACGGCCACAUUGGGACUGAGAUACGGCCCAGACUCCUACGGGAGGCAGCAGUGGGGAAUAUUGCACAAUGGGCGGAAGCCUGAUGCAGCAACGCCGCGGGCGGGAUGACGGCCUUCGGGUUGUAAACCGCUUUCAGCAGGGGCGAAGCUUGUGGUGACGGUACCUGCAGAAGAAGCACCGGCUAACUACGUG